AGGUAAGUCACACCGGGAUUGACAUGACAAUAACUGGGUCUCAAAACCUAAGGUGACUUUCUGCACUUUGACCAAGUUGCCAGUUUUCACCAGUUUUCGCCAAGUCCCUUACAAAAAAUAUUAGUGGUACAAUGGUGCACUGAUUAUACCAAAUAUGAUAUUGCUCUCUCAUUGCAUUCUAUAGUAGUUUAGAAUGAAGACCACCAAAAAAAAAAAAAUGUAAUUCUGUUAUCAUUUACUCCCCCUCAAGUUGCUCCAAACUUGUUUGAGUUUCUAUUUUCUGUUGAUUUGUUUGUUUGAAGAAUGUUUGGAACCAAACAGUUGACGGUAGCCAUUGACUUCCAUGGUAUUUUUCUCCAUGCUAUGUGAGUCGAUAGCUACCGUCAACUGUUUGGUUACCCACAUUCUUCAAAAACCUUCUUUUAUGCUGAGCAGAAGAAAGAAACUUUAAAAGGGAUAGUUCACCCAACAUAAAAUGUUUGUCAUGGAUUUCUUUCCUCUGUGAAAGUUAGAAGAAUGUUGGUAAUCAAACAGGUAUGGUUCCCUUUGACUUUCAGUGUAUUUUUGUCCACACCAUAUCAUCAGUGGAAGUCAGUGGAAACUGAAAUGAUGAUUGUCCAUGACAGUGGGGGUCCUGUUCAGAGAUUACCACAGUAGUAUUGGGGUUACUUUGGUUACCAUGAUGAAUGUUAGGGGCUGCCUACAAAUGAGCAUUCUAAAUGACAUGAGUGACUGACUGGACAACCUUCGCUUGUGAUGCAGUGAAAGUGUCCAGGUCACAGGACACCGUCAAAGACCUUGAAUUUAGCUUUUGGCGCUCGUCUGCAAGAUUAAUACAUGCAAAUGGAAAACGUGAAAUGUCUUUGCUCAUGAUUAAAGGGGCAGCGACAUGCUUAUGAUUGUGGAAAUGCAUUUAAAAGAUCAAAUUUCAUCCUCCUGCACCUGCCACAUAUGCUUGUUUUAAAUAUAAACGCGCAGAUAUUGAACUAAAGUGGAGAAAUGGAUUGUGUGCUUUCUGUCACGUAGUGUUGUGGAAUAUUCUGCAGCCAAAUAACUUCACGGGGGGCGUGACAUCAAUACGAGCAAAGCGAAACAAUACGAAUCUAAAUAUAAAAUCACCACGCGCGCAUUCUUUCAAUAUUUGCAAACGACAGAUGUUGUUGAAAAGAUACAUAGACUAGCUCAUGCAAACAUACUCUGAGAUAUUAUAAUAGCCUAAUAUUUAGUAGCUAUUAAACAUAAUCGCAGUUAUUAGGCUAUUCGUCCAUGCACAAAAUAUUUCUAAACUUUAAGUGUGACAUUAUUCUCACACACCCAUCUGUAAUAGAGCGUUUGCAAAAUACCAUCACUGAGUAUUUAUAUUUUAUAAAUACCAGCUAUUUAUUUAGUACUCAAUAACACUACAUCCAUAUGAAUUUACCUUGAGAUAUGAAGGUCCGAGCUUGUCGACAAGAAGCUGCCUACGUGCUAUGUCUUUAUGGUUUCAUGGAUCAGUUAGUAGUCAGGUGUCUGUCGCUAUCAGCCAAAUGAACCAAUGAGCGCGAUGCAGGAACCAGCUCGCCAGAGGCGCACAGCGCGCGCACCAAACGCUUGAGGGGACAUUUAAGAUUAAGCUGCAGGUUGGUUAUGACUGACACAAUUUUUUGCUUGGUGACCGACUUGUAUUUCAUCGACAAUGUCUGAAUGGUGUUUCUACUCACAUCUAGGAAUGUGGCACAUGAUUUUGUCUGGCAGGUUUAGGUAAUCUCCACAUAUUCGUUUGACUUCUCUUUAGGCUACUUCUAUGUUGCGUUACUAGCAGGGAAGGAAAGAAUGGUAAUUUAACUCUAUAAAGCCAUGCUAUGUCAUAUUUGAUACGUGAAUUAUGGCCUCAUGAUUAAAACUUUGCUAAAACACUCCUGGUAUCUGAAAGUUUUAUGAUUUUUUAGAUAAUUUAUUUACAGUAGAGUGUUUCAGAAUUUCAUCUUCCCUUUGGCCAUCAAAAUAACAGCAACAGCACCAAAUUGCAUGGUCCUCUGUAUAAAACGGAUGUGUCUUUUUCUCCGCGAUUUUGAGCUGUAGCCUAUAUUUUCACUUUAGGCCUAUCAUAAAAUAUAAACCAUAAAAGCCUUAUAUAUAUAAUAUGAU
rnacentral:lncRNA from 1 species